rnacentral:lncRNA from 1 species
CGAAAUAUUAACAAAUAGUCCCUGUGGGAUUGAUAAUCUUUUAUAACUACGCGAUAUACCUGUGCACUUGCAGUAAUAUCGACAACAAGUUUUUGGCGUCGUUGCUGGGAACUAAUUUAGUAAAUUUUCGCUACUUAGUUUUUAAUCUGUAACGAUUAAGGCAACCCUUUUACUUAGGUUGUAUGCCCAGCACUCGUACCUCUGAGGAACCCUGAAAUAGAGCGUUAUAUUAAUUUACAACGCUGAAUCCGC